rfam:Ovis aries breed Texel chromosome 18, whole genome shotgun sequence.
UCCCUGGUGGUUCAAUGGCUAGAGCUUCACACCCCAAUGCAGGGGGCUCAGGUUCAAUCCCUGGUCAGGGAA